UCAGUCGGCUGGACGGUCGCUCCCGCAAGCACGGAAACGUCGCGGGGGAGGAAAGUCCGGGCUCCACGGAAAAACGGUGCCGGGUAACACCCGGCGGGGGCGACCCCAGGGAAAGUGCCACAGAAAGCAAACCGCCAUGGCCCAGGCCACGGCAAGGGUGAAAGGGUGGGGUAAGAGCCCACCGCGCGACCGGCAACGGAAGCGGCACGGUAAACCCCACCGGGAGCAAAACCGAAUAGGGGCGACGGGGGACCUUCGGGUUCCGGCCCGUUUCCAGGCCAGUCGUCCGGGUAGGUUGCGUGAGGCGUUCGGCAACGAACGUCCCAGAUGAAUGGUCGUCGCGUGCGGCGCUUGCGUCGCGCCAUACAGAACCCGGCUUAGAGGCCGACUGACACU
rfam:Stappia sp. ES.058 genome assembly, chromosome: I